UCCCCAAAAUGAAAGAUCCCUUGCUAGCCCUAAUUUUCUCUGUCUUUGUUGAAGUUGUGCACAAAGAUACUGUGAACCACCGAUGUGUCGGCCACCACGAUCGUGAACCCGUUACCCACCAAGCUAAAUACGCACUCCAUCUUCUUUCUUUCUUUGUUCUUCUUUUUAUUCUUUUCUUCCUCACUUCACGAAUCUCUUUAUCUUCUUUUCCCCUCUCACGGCAAAAUAGGGAACAGUAAGUUCUUGGCGUUUCUCCUCCGUUCGUUGGUUUCAUCGUCCAUUUGCGUCGUCGUCCGUGGCGGUGUGGGCGUAGGUUGGUUGAUGGUCUUCCGUGGCUUCUGAUAUGCUCUGUAGUGUUCGUCCGUCUGCUCUGCUCUGCUCCACGUUGUUCGUCCGUGGGUUUCGUGGCGUUCCCUCGUCGAGCCGCGCCUCGCUGCCUAAAAUCAAUAUGCCAAAACAGGGAUGUGGAGUGAAAAUUCUGGAGGUGUAUAUGGUGGUGACGGAGAACCCCCGAAGAGUUGAAUGGACCUCACAAAGAUAAUUCUGCUCCGACUUCCUUUGUUUCAAAAGCAGGCUACAGGCUACCAUACUUUGAUUGAAGCUUUUGGUAGACUAUCUUGUUGGGACAUCUGAUGAACUCAAGUCUACUCUUUAUUGUUGAUCCUAUGCUGGUUCAGAAAGUGGAAGUGAGAGGCUGCAACACAAGAACUGAUUUAUAGAUUAUCUGUAUAUUACACUGAAAUUAUGUUUUCUAUGGUUUUCAUUUUUAGAUUUUAAAUUUCAAUAACACAAAUUAUAUAACCUUGUGGUUUUUUAUGGUGUAUCAUCAUAUAAUAAAGACACAAACUAUAUUUCAUGAAUCCAUACAAAUGUAAAAUAUUAUAUGAUCAUAAUAAAUACUUGAAUAAUGAAAAUUGAAUUUUAUGUA